rnacentral:rRNA from 1 species
UUAGCGGAGUGGUCCUGCGGAGGGAUCAUUACCGAGUUUACAACUCCCAAACCCCUGUGAACAUACCUAUACGUUGCCUCGGCGGAUCAGCCCGCGCCCCGUAAAACGGGACGGCCCGCCCGAGGACCCCUAAACUCUGUUUUUAGUGGAACUUCUGAGUAAAACAAACAAAUAAAUCAAAACUUUCAACAACGGAUCUCUUGGUUCUGGCAUCGAUGAAGAACGCAGCAAAAUGCGAUAAGUAAUGUGAAUUGCAGAAUUCAGUGAAUCAUCGAAUCUUUGAACGCACAUUGCGCCCGCCAGUAUUCUGGCGGGCAUGCCUGUUCGAGCGUCAUUUCAACCCUCAAGCUCAGCUUGGUGUUGGGACUCGCGGUAACCCGCGUUCCCCAAAUCGAUUGGCGGUCACGUCGAGCUUCCAUAGCGUAGUAAUCAUACACCUCGUUACUGGUAAUCGUCGCGGCCACGCCGUUAAACCCCAACUUCUGAAUGUUGACCUCGGAUCAGGUAGGAAUACCCGCUGAACUUAAGCAUAUCAAAGUGGGAGGAAA